rnacentral:lncRNA from 1 species
GAGCGUGUGCACCCAUUCCUGCCUCACUCCCCCCGCCUCCCCCCCCAGCCUUGGUCCCGUGCCUGUGUCUUCACAGCAUGGGGUCGGGCUGGGAACGGACAGCUUGCACAAGCUGGGAGCCAAGGUGGCCAAGGAGGGAGCGACCCGCCGGGUCAUAGCUCUUGGUGGAGCCCCUGCCCCAGCGGGUGACCACCACUCUGCUCCCCAGGUGGGCCUGGAUCCUUCAGGACGCACUGGGCGUCGCCUUCUGCCUCUACAUGUUGAAAACCAUCCGCCUCCCCACUUUCAAGGUGAGGGUCCCAAGGGGGUGGGGCCGCCGGAUGGGAGGGGGCUGUGUCCUCAGGGCGGCUGCAGGCCGGCCCGCCCCCGUGUCCGCCCAGGGUGUCCCGGGUCCCCUGUGGACAGCAUGUUCUUUGUGCCUCUGUCCGUCCCGCCACCUCUCUGGUGUCAGGGCUUAAGGAUCAACCGCAGGAUCGCCUCCCAGUGUGGCGGCCACGCCAGUGACAGCUUGGCGCUGAGGAUUCCCCGGGUGGGGCCGCAAGGCGGCCGCAGGGCAGGGCCCUUCCCGAGGCGGCCACCGUGGCGGUGCCGGGUCAACUUCCUGCUGGUGAGCCGCGCACACACAGGCAAAAGGGGGCGGCAGCGCCAGCGCAGGCCCCGUGGGCAGGACCGAGAAGUCCACGGGAAGACGUGAAGAAGGGGCGUCACCGCCCCAAAGCCACAGAAUGCGUGUCGCUGGAGCCACCUGCCUUCCAGCUUUUCCAUCACUCAGAACCGUGGCCUGACUCACGUGCUGCCCUGGUCUCCCGCGGCUCCAGGGGAUGGGACUGGAUUUGCUCAGAUUUGCCCCUAGCUGCUUUGUCCCGUGGGCACGGCUGAGCCUUGUGGGGGGAGGUGGGGGUGGGGACGCGGCCUGGGGGUGUGCGCCGGGGACCUUCUGAGCGCGGCCCCUCAGGACGUCCUCUCCCCAGGCCUGCACGCUGCUGCUGCUGGUGCUCUUUGUCUACGACGUCUUCUUUGUGUUCAUCACGCCCUUUCUGACCAAGGUGGGCGCCCCUGCCCUGCCCUGCCGCUGCACCCCCUGUCCCCGUGCCCCUUCUCUGACACCCCCCCCCCCUUUGUUAGAGUGGGAACAGCAUCAUGGUGGAGGUGGCAACCGGGCCCUCGGACUCGGCCACCCACGAGAAGGUACGUAGGGGGCCCCCGGCCGGGGCGCCGCCCGGAGAAGAGUGCUGGGCACGCGCGGCCCCCCGGACAUGGCACUUCCUGCUCCCCCCAGCUCCCCAUGGUCCUGAAGGUGCCCCGACUGAACGCCUCGCCGCUGGCCCUGUGUGACCGGCCCUUCUCCCUCCUGGGCUUCGGGGACAUCCUGGUGCCAGGUACUGGGGUGCGAGGUGGGCGGCCUUGGGAGCGUCCAGUGGGUGGAGCCUGAGCGGAGCAGGCCGGGUUUGCCCCCUGGGUGGCGGGCUGGCCGCCGAGCCCCGUCUGAAAGCAGGGACGGCCGUCACACGGGACGCCGCCGGGCCCACGCGCCUUCUCCCCGCAGGGCUGCUCGUGGCCUACUGCCACAGGUUCGACAUCCAGGUGCAGUCGUCCAGGGUCUACUUUGUAGCCUGCACCGUGGGUAAGCGCCCUCCUUGUAUCUGUCCGUCCUUCGUUCUGUCCUUGUCCCCCACUUCUUUCUUUGGUUACCAAAGCCAUUGCUACAGAACCGACCUGUCCUGUGGAGCCCGAUUGCUUUGAGAGUUUUCCAGACCGGCCGGCCUGCUCACCUCUGGUCAGCCCUUCCGGAGGAGCAGCGAGCCUGCCCGAUGGCGCCUGUCCGUGUGCAUGCGUGUCCCCCGCCAUGGGGGAGCCAGGCUGGGGGAGGGGCUGCCUGACGACUCCCUCCCCCGCGUCGUGGGCCGCGUGCACAGGCCCCGGCAGCCCACCCCGGCAGAGGCGAGGCCCUGUAAAUGCCCCUGGGAGCACCAGGACGACCGGGGCUGACCUUCCGGGCGUACCUUGGGGUCGCCUGUGUCUUCCCACCCCGGUGGCUACGGCUGCAGGCACGCCCCCCUCGUCCCCUUUGCCGGCCCUAAACCUUCCCUUGGGCUUUACACACCACACUCAUCCUUCAGGUACCGUUGCAAGGGCUUUGUGUGUGUGAGCCGCUUGGCCGGCUUGUGUGUGUGGUUCCUUGUCGAGCCUGCGGACCUUGCGGGCAGCGGGCGCCUUUCUCCUCCGCAGCCGCAGCCGCAGCCCGCUCCCGUGGACCGCCGGUAAGUGACGCACAGCUCUCCCCGGAGGUGAGGACCGCCGAGCGAGCCGCGAUCUCGGAGGAGGUUACUGUAGCCUAACUCCUCGAGGAGACGGUUGCGGAUUUACCGCUGCAGGAUUAGCGCAAAGAGCGCCUGCACGCCGGCCCUCGGGUCCAGCAGCGUGUGCGUGCGUGACUGUGUGUGCAAGUACGUGUGUGUGCGUGCGCAAACGCGCGUCCUUCUAUGCUGGCGCUCACGUAUGGAACCGACGUGCGGGAUUUAUUCGGACCUUCGCCCCUCGGGGCUCCGUCGGGUAUCUCAUGAGAAUGGAAACAGCCUUUCGAACGAUCACAGCUUGUUACGAACAUUUGCUUUUGUAACUUUGUGCGGACGUUACUCUUCUCCAGAAUUCUCUUCCUAGCCAGAGGCUGAGCAGACAGGUGCUCAGGCAGUUAACGGGCCUUUCUCUCACUGCCCCUGUGGCUCCAGACCCGGGGCUCAGCCAUGGAGCCUUGCUCAUUCCCGCCUUCUCGCUGGCGCCCGGUGGGACCGGGCAGGGGUGUGUGUGCCGGAAGACGCAGGCGCAUCCGUGCGCAGGCAGGCAGCCCCCUGCCUGCCCCGGGUGCCCCAUGCGCUACCGUGUGGCGGGCGCCCCGCCUCUCCGGUCCCCGUUCCGGCAUCCCGGCCGCAGGCGGGUGCUGGGCCGCGGGGCCACCCGUGGGGGUAACACGCCGCCCGUCUCUCCCUGCAGCCUACGGGAUCGGCCUCCUGGUGACGUUCAUGGCGCUGGCCCUCAUGCAGCGCGGCCAGCCCGCCCUCCUCUACCUGGUGCCCUGCACGCUGAUGAUAAGCUGCGCCCUGGCGCUCUGGCGCAGGGAGCUGGGCAUGUUCUGGACGGGCAGCGGCUUUGCGGUGAAUACCCGUUUGCUAUGACUGUCUGCGAGAAAUAAUAACCCAAUAAGCCCUAACUAGAGUUAAAGUUGAGUAAAACCUCCUAGUUUCACGACUAAACCCCGCGGCCUCUGUCCCCGUUCCCAGAAGGUUCUGUUUGGUGUCCUGUCCGUGUGGCUCUGAAGGGUCCGAGCCGUCCCAGCAGAGGGGACGCGCUUGUGCCGUCCCACUGGGUGUGGCUUGAGGAUGGUGCUAACAGCCCUUUACUAGAGGUGCCAGUCCCGAGGGACCGUAACACCCCAUGUGAUGGGAUACUGGCUUCCGGCUGCUUCAGCCCUUGGGAACACAGUGCCGAGCUGGGGGGGCCCCCGAGGUCCUCUGCCAGGGUGGGGGCUGUCCGCCCAGGACGGGGAAAGGGCAGGGGGCCCGGGGGCAAGCUGUGCAAGGCCAGGUGGAGGAACCCAAGCUCAGCCUGUGGCGCCACCGCCCCCCUCGUGGAGUGGAUCACGGCCAGUGGCUUGCUGUUCCUGGUUUUUGAGACAGAAGAGGAGAGGGACGGAGGCCACUCUUGGUGCAGCGCAGCACAUUCGAUGGGACGAGGGCACGUGUUUCAGUGGCGCAGGGACAGAGCUGACGCCCUGCGGGUAUGGAAAGGCUGCGGCUGCCUCUGCUGCCCUGUCAGUAGCACACAGAGGCGGGCGACACCGGGACCAGCCUUGUCAGUUACAGGAGCUCCUGAGUGUGACAUGUGUCCCUCUGGAGCGCUGCUGGUUGAGUGUGGUGUUACCGUGCCAGGUUUUGUGGAAGUUGAAACUCGCACCCUCUCCGUCCUGGCCUAGAGGCGCCGAACGGAGCAGGGCCCCAGGUUAACCUGAUAGAUGAACCAGAUAACGUAACCGAUGGAUGAUAGGGCCUUGGGCCCUCCCGCGGGCCCUCGGGGAAACGCUCCCGGCUUCAUCGCCCACCGUCCUCAGAGGCUCUCAGUCCCGAGGAGUGCUGGCUUUGCCACAGGGCAAAGUUCUGGAAGGUUCAGGAGGCCGGGGAACAAGGCUCAGCGUUUCUGCAUUGGGUCACCGGCCUGUGGUCCCGCCUUCUGGCUGGUGCUACUUGGCCCCAAGGGAAGGUGGCUCCUGGGUCUGGAGCUGGACCCUCGGGGGACGGUGACUCAUCUGCCCUCCCCUGUCCACUGUCCCCGGGCUUUCCUGUCCUCGUCCCACGCCUGACUGUGGCCUCUUCUCUUACAGAAGGACCUACCUCAGUCUCCUUGGGCGGCGUCUUCAGCCGACGGCCCCCAGCCCCAGACGGACUCAGACACUGGCCUCUCCCAGCCGCCUCCAGGCGAAGGACUGGCCAAGUGCUCCCUGCCCACGAAGCAGCCCCCGGCAUUGUCUGCGCCCGAGGAGACGGGGGCCAGAGCACCCCCCCAGGAGCCCACGAGCCCAGCCAGCCGCCCCCCUGAACCCACAGGCCCGGUAGGCACCUCGGCCUAGAUGAUGGCGCAGACUCUCGGGCCCUCGCUGCCGCCCCUCUGCGCCGAGAGACCCCGAGACUGGACGUGCUCGGCCCUCCCCCCCCCAACUUGGUGCUCUGGUCUGGCCGAUGUCCCCGCUCUUCCUCCUCCUUGAGCAGAGCCCAGCUGCACCCUGGACCCUCUCCAGCUCCUGCUCCCGGCCCGAGUGGCUGCCGCGAGCCCCCGGACCGACGAGGUCACCCGUGUGGAGCGCCCAGCUCCGCGGUCUUGCCU